AGAGUUUGAUCCUGGCUCAGAAUCAACGCUGGCGGCGUGCCUAACACAUGCAAGUCGCACGAGAAAGGGUAGCAAUACCUGAGUAAAGUGGCGCACGGGUGAGUAACACGUGACUAAUCUACCCUCGAGUGGGGAAUAACUGAGAGAAAUCUUAGCUAAUACCGCAUAACACUUACGAGUCAAAGCAGCAAUGCGCUUGGGGAGGAGGUCGCGGCAGAUUAGCUAGUUGGUGGGGUAAUGGCCCACCAAGGCGAUGAUCUGUAUCCGGCCUGAGAGGGCGCACGGACACACUGGAACUGAAACACGGUCCAGACUCCUACGGGAGGCAGCAGUGGGGAAUUUUGCGCAAUGGGGGAAACCCUGACGCAGCAACGCCGCGUGGAGGAUGAAAUCCCUUGGGAUGUAAACUCCUUUCGAUAGGGAAGAUAAUGACGGUACCUAUAGAAGAAGCCCCGGCUAACUUCGUGCCAGCCGCCGCGGUAAUAC
rnacentral:rRNA from 1 species